rnacentral:rRNA from 1 species
GAAUUCCCUAGGAGAUCCCAAGUAGAUGACUUGGUUGAUAGGCUUUAAGUGGAAGCAUGGCAACAUGUGGAGCUGAGAAGUACUAAGGAGUCCAUCGCCUUUUUAUG